CUGCUCGCACAGUGAGGACCCCUCCUCUGGGUGGUCAGAGGGAAAGGACUGACCUCUCAUCUGAGACAAGGCACCUGCAGAGUCUUGAAGGUGCGGCCCGAACACUAUAAGGAGUAUUGUCUCCGACUCCUGCCCUAGUCAGUGCAUAGCCUGGGCUCAGCGUUCAAAAAUCAGAAGCUUCCCACAGAUUGCAGAUAAGACUAAAGGCAAGCAACUGGGAACCAUAAGCUAACGGACGAGCUGUUAAACCUCCUGGAAUUGACUAAAAUCUCCAGAAGGCUACCUCCCUAGCAUCUAUGGCAGUGCCCAGCACAUAGUUGGCAUUCGACAAGUUGUGGACCGAAGGAAGCCUAUCUUACGGUGCAAGAUUAAAACAGCGCAGGGGGAGAGGCGAACCCUGGUAGAUGAGUCAUCACUACAUGAGAAGUUCAGCAUCGCAAGAGAUAAGGAACAACGCAGGACAACAAUCGGAGUUCACAGGCAGUG